rnacentral:rRNA from 1 species
UAGGCGAUGGAUAACAGGUUGAUAUUCCUGUACCACCUAUAAUCGUUUUAAUCGAUGGGGGACGCAGUAGGAUAGGCGAAGCGUGCGAUUGGAUUGCACGUCUAAGCAGUAAGGCUGAGUAUUAGGCAAAUCCGGUACUCGUUAAGGCUGAGCUGUGAUGGGGAGAAGACAUUGUGUCUUCGAGUCGUUGAUUUCACACUGCCGAGAAAAGCCUCUAGAUAGAAAAUAGGUGCCCGUACCGCAAACCGACACAGGUAGUCAAGAUGAGAAUUCUAAGGUGAGCGAGCGAACUCUCGUUAAGGAACUCGGCAAAAUGACCCGUAACUUCGGGAGGGGGUGCUCUUUAGGGUUAACGCCCAGAAGAGCCGCAGUGAAUAGGCCCAAGCGACUGUUUAUCAAAAACACAGGUCUCUGCUAAACCGUAAGGUGAUGUAUAGGGCUGACGCCUGCCCGGUGCUGGAAGGUUAAGAGGAGUGGUUAGCUUCUGCGAAGCUACGAAUCGAAGCCCCAGUAAACGGCGGCCGUAACUAUAACGUCCUAAGGUAGCGAAAUUCCUUGUCGGGUAAGUUCCGACCCGCACGAAAGGCGUAACGAUUUGGCACUGUCUCAACGAGAGACUCGGUGAAAUCAUAGUACCUGUGAAGAUGCAGGUUACCCGCGACAGGACGGAAAGACCCCGUGGAGCUUUACUGUAGCCUGAUAUUGAAAUUCGGCACAGCUUGUACAGGAUAGGUAGGAGCCUUUGAAACGUGAGCGCUAGCUUACGUGGAGGCGCUGGUGGGAUACUACCCUAGCUGUGUUGGCUUUCUAACCCGCACCACUUAUCGUGGUGGGAGACAGUGUCAGGCGGCAGUUUGACUGGGCGGUCGCCUCCUAAAAGGUAACGGAGGCGCUCAAAGGUUCCCUCAGAAUGGUUGGAAAUCAUUCAUAGAGUGUAAAGGCAUAAGGGAGCUUGACUGCGAGACCUACAAGUCGAGCAGGGUCGAAAGACGGACUUAGUGAUCCGGUGGUUCCGCAUGGAAGGGCCAUCGCUCAACGGAUAAAAGCUACCCCGGGGAUAACAGGCUUAUCUCCCCCAAGAGUUCACAUCGACGGGGAGGUUUGGCACCUCGAUGUCGGCUCAUCGCAUCCUGGGGCUGUAGUCGGUCCCAAGGGUUGGGCUGUUCGCCCAUUAAAGCGGUACGCGAGCUGGGUUCAGAACGUCGUGAGACAGUUCGGUCCCUAUCCGUCGUGGGCGUAGGAAAUUUGAGAGGAGCUGUCCUUAGUACGAGAGGACCGGGAUGGACAUACCUCUGGUGUACCAGUUGUCGUGCCAACGGCAUAGCUGGGUAGCUAUGUGUGGACGGGAUAAGUGCUGAAAGCAUCUAAGCAUGAAGCCCCCUCAAGAUGAGAUUUCCCAACUUCGGUUAUAAGAUCCCUCAAAGAUGAUGAGGUUAAUAGGUUCGAGGUGGAAGCAUGGUGACAUGUGGAGCUGACGAAUACUAAUCGAUCGAAGACUUAAUCA